rnacentral:lncRNA from 1 species
AAUUACAGAAUUACAGUGCAAUAUCGUCAUCUGUGGGUAGUAAACUACCCCGGGUUCUAAAAACUUCCGUGGGUCGAUGUUCGGCGAUGCAUCAACCGUGAGGGUUUCAAUCGUGAAUAUAAUAGGGUUAUCAAUUUGAGGUAGUCAAGGUUUUUAAGAUAGUUGUGUCAAGGAAGUUGACAGAUUUCUCAGAGAAGGAAAAGUCAAAUUUGAUGGUAUAAGAUUUUCAGGAGCUUGUUGGAGGAGCUCCUGUUCAAGUGCUGCCAUGAAUAUGUUUGCAUAGGGGUAAUUGUGUUGAUUUCUUUCAACAUGUCUAUACAGGCUUGGAUGCCUUGAUCAUUAGAAAAGAGGCAUAUAUGGUCUUGUAUGGUGUGUGUUUGGGUGUCGGGACAAAGGUAAGGCCUUUCGACAGGGUUUUUUGUGCUUCCUGUGAGAUGGGUUUGUUAGAGAGGUUAACAAUAGUAUUGUGUUGGGAGUUAUAUUUGAGUUUUUUAUGUAGUUUAUUUUUGCUUU